rnacentral:lncRNA from 1 species
UCCUUGUGGUCAUAAGCUUCAAGGGCAGCUGACUCCAUCUUUAGUUGUAAAUGAUGUUGUCCUAACUCUACACCUGGAACUGCUGCAACCACCUUGCUUCCAGUGUGAGAAUGAAGACAGUGCUAAGGAUGGUAAAAAAGAGAGAUAACAAGAGCCUAAUCCUUGAGGACAUCCUUGAAUCACAGCGUCAACCAACUCUGUCAUCUGUCCUACCUCUGGACAUCCUGGUAUGAGAUUAGUGUGUUUCCUAAUUGCUUAGGCAAAUUUGAGUUGAGCUUUCUGAUUACGGCAGGACAGAUCAUCCUAACACAAAGGUCUCAAAGAGAAAAACAAGAGCAUGGUGGACACUACUAUAAAUGAUCUGAUGUCUAUUCUCCCUUUCUACCUUACUAAUAUUACUCUUCAUUUUGUUUAAAGUAGGUCAGUUAUAGAUACACAGUCAUUUUAGACAAUAAAAUAUAUAUGGAUGACCAUUCUUCAGCCUCAUGAGACGCUAUUGUCUUAUUAAAAUAAUUUAAAAAGGAAAAGUGUCUCUCAGUGCCCUUUGUCCUUUGCCGUUUCUCUCUCUGGGCCUGAUAUGUAGAUUAAAUGCUCAUACAUAGUGCAUUCAAUGUGCUCAGGGUGGCAGAGCUAUAAACCAGAAGGAAUCUGAAUUCUUGAUGCCAUCCCUGACCAGUUAUGCUCUUCCUAAAAGCCCUCCUUCCAGACUUUCUUCGCAAAUGAGGAAAAGAAACUCCUGCUUAGAUAAG